UCUUUUUGUUUAAAAUUUAAAGUCUGGUCUGCCCUAUGAAAAAUUAAAUGGCCGCGGUAUUUUGACCGUGCUAAGGUAGCAUAAUCAUUAGUUUUUUUAUUGAAAGCUGGAAUGAAGGGUUGGAUGAAAAAAAAACUGUCUCUAUUUAAUUAUUAUAAAAUUUUAUUUUUAAGUUAAAAAGCUUAAAUUUAUUUAAAAGACGAGAAGACCCUAUAGAGUUUUAUAAUUUUUUAUAUAAAAAAUUUAGAAUUUAAGUUUUUAUAUUAUUUAAAUUAUUUAAUUGGGGUGAUUUAAAAAUUUAAUAAACUUUUUUUUAUAUUUAUAUUGAUUAAUAAAUAAUUGAUCCAAUAAUUUUGAUUAUAAGAUAAAAUUACCUUAGGGAUAACAGCGUAAUUUUAUUUGAGAGUUCAUAUCGAUAAUAAAGAUUGCGACCUCGAUGUUGGAUUAAAA
rnacentral:rRNA from 1 species